rnacentral:rRNA from 1 species
GAGUUUGAUCAUGGCUCAGGACGAACGCUGGCGGCGUGCUUAACACAUGCAAGUCGAACGGAAAGGCCCCCACUUUUUUGGUGGGGGUGCUCGAGUGGCGAACGGGUGAGUAACACGUGGGUGAUCUGCCCUGCACUUCGGGAUAAGCUUGGGAAACUGGGUCUAAUACCGGAUAGGACCAUGGUUUAGUGUCUCAUGGUGGAAAAAUUAUUGUUUUGGUGCAGGAUGAGCUCGCGGCCUAUCAGCUUGUUGGUGGGGUAAUGGCCUACCAAGGCGUCGACGGGUAGCCGGCCUGAGAGGGUGGACGGCCACAUUGGGACUGAGAUACGGCCCAGACUCCUACGGGAGGCAGCAGUGGGGAAUAUUGCACAAUGGGCGCAAGCCUGAUGCAGCGACGCCGCGUGGGGGAUGACGGCCUUCGGGUUGUAAACUCCUUUCGUUAGGGACGAAGCCGCACCUGUUUUGGGUGUGGUGACGGUACCUUUGUUAAGAAGCACCGGCUAACUACGUGCCAGCAGCCGCGGUAAUACGUAGGGUGCGAGCGUUGUCCGGAAUUACUGGGCGUAAAGAGCUCGUAGGUGGUUUGUUGCGUCGUCUGUGAAAUUCCGGGGCUUAACUUCGGGGUGGCAGGCGAUACGGGCAUAACUAGAGUGCUGUAGGGGAGACUGGAAUUCCUGGUGUAGCGGUGGAAUGCGCAGAUAUCAGGAGGAACACCGAUGGCGAAGGCAGGUCUCUGGGCAGUAACUGACGCUGAGGAGCGAAAGCAUGGGGAGCGAACAGGAUUAGAUACCCUGGUAGUCCAUGCUGUAAACGGUGGGCGUUAGGUGUGGGGACCGGCUUGGUUUCUGUGCCGUAGCUAACGCAUUAAGCGCCCCGCCUGGGGAGUACGGCCGCAAGGCUAAAACUCAAAGGAAUUGACGGGGGCCCGCACAAGCGGCGGAGCAUGUGGAUUAAUUCGAUGCAACGCGAAGAACCUUACUUGGGUUUGACAUGCACCAGACGGUUGUAGAGAUACGUACCUCCCUUUGUGGUUGGUGUGCAGGUGGUGCAUGGUUGUCGUCAGCUCGUGUCGUGAGAUGUUGGGUUAAGUCCCGCAACGAGCGCAACCCUUGUCUUAUGUUGCCAGCACUUUGGGUGGGGACUCAUGAGAGACUGCCGGGGUUAACUCGGAGGAAGGUGGGGAUGACGUCAAAUCAUCAUGCCCUUUAUGCCCAGGGCUUCACACAUGCUACAAUGGUUAGUACAACGCGCUGCAAGCCUGUGAGGGUGAGCGAAUCGCUGAAAGCUAAUCUCAGUUCGGAUUGGGGUCUGUAACUCGACCCCAUGAAGUCGGAGUCGCUAGUAAUCGCAGAUCAGCAAUGCUGCGGUGAAUACGUUCCCGGGCCUUGUACACACCGCCCGUC